rnacentral:lncRNA from 1 species
CAGGCAGAGAUCUGAAGGCCUGGGUGUGAGCAACCUCCAGCCUGGGCCUGGCUGGUGUCCAUCCUAGCACGUGUUUUCUCAUUCCUGGAUAUUGGCCCCUAGGUGGCACGUGGAACUGCUGGAGGCUUCGAGAGGCCAGCACAAGGACCUCUGGGAAUUCCACAUGAUGAAGCAGCGACUGGCCUGGGAGAUUCGUGCCCUGCAGAGCAGCAAGGAGCAGCUGCUCACCGAAGAGAGGCAGGCGCGGGCGAAGCUGGAGGAGGUUGAGCAGCGGCUGCGCUCGCCGCCCGAGGUCCCGGGCGCCUCGGCAGAGAAGGACGGGCUGAAGGCGGAGCUGGAGAAACUCGGGGGCAGGUCCCCGCCCAGGCCCAGAACACCCCAGAAGUCGGAGCCAGCAAAUGAAAGGCCCGCCCGGAAAUAAAGGCGACGUUUAACCGACUGCCCUGCACCUCUCCGGCUGAGUCUGUGCUCCGGGAACCAUCGGGGACCGUGUGGUUCCUUUCCGCUCUCCCAGGGAAGGGG